AUAAAAUAUAAAAUAAUAUUUUUUUAUAUAUAUAAAAAUCGAAUCGCUGCUCGCAUUUCCUAGGCUCCUACUUAGCAAAAAGAUUUUAAAAUAUAAAACUAGACUCUCCCACAAAGAAAGAUUAGGGGGGCGGAGGGAAACCAUUUCAUUGUUUUGCAGUCACAGCUGAGAAGUGGAAGUGCCUAACUUUUUGAUUAACUUCUGGUUAUUUUUCUUCUCCUAAAAUCGAAUUUAUCCAAUGUUGAAAUUGUUACAAGCAGGCAAGGCCCCAUCCCUCUAGGGAAAGUACUUUGGUGGAGGGCAUUGGAAGGAUAUGUGUGAUGAUGGAUUUUCAGUUCAUUAUGCAAUCGGUAAGAAUUUGUAUAACAAAUAAAAAAUGUAUUCCUGCUUAAGCCCUUAAUUUUAAAACAUUUUUCAUGUAGUUUCUGUUAUUUUAUUUCUGGUAUUUUGCUCCCCAUUGCCUUUAUCCCAUCAACAUUCCUCGCCAGCCCCGUAGAACACCAUUUCAGUGCUGAAUAAUUGGCUUUAGUCGUUAAGCGUCAGGCAGAAGGAGGAGAUCAAUGUGACCUACCUAUCAAUAAAUUUGUGUACUGACUUGUUAGAUGGGCGGUGCGAAUGAUAUAUUAUGGAAAUCCAGGCAUAUUUAAACAACAUAUGUAUUUACGGUAGCUAUAUAUACAUUACGUAGUUAUACAAGCAAAAAUAUGUAUGUCGCGUACGUGUACAUGUACAUAUGUGUGGGUGUUUAUAAACGUAUAUUUAAGCGGCUUAAAUGUGACAAAGCACUUGCUGAAAUACCAAUACAAAAGUAAAGAACAAAACUAUCUAACUCUACUCUUGACUUGCUGCCUUACUUUCCUCUAGUGAAGAAUAGUCGAAACAAAACGAAACGAAACUAAAUAUGUAUAAAUACGCAUGAACACAAACCCAAUUAACAAAAUUCUUCAUAAAUUGCUGCCUUACUUUCCUACUCUAUACACUUGAAUAACGAAAAAAGAAAACCUCUUAGACUCUCCCAGAGCUUUUUUCCACUUUUCCCUCUACUAUUCUGUGAGCUUGACCCAAUAGAUUAUGCAGAACAAAAUCAAUUUUAUAUAAUGCUAG
rnacentral:lncRNA from 1 species